rnacentral:rRNA from 1 species
GAUGAACGCUGGCGGCGUGCCUAAUACAUGCAAGUCGAACGGACGAUCGCAAGGUCGUUAGUGGCGAACGGGUGAGUAACGCGUUGGUGACCUGCCCUUUAGUGGGGGGAUACCAGACCGAAAGGUCUGCUAAUACCGCGAUGAGAUCGAGGGAGACUAGAAGCUCUCGAUGAAACCGAAAGGUGCUGAAGGAGGGGCCUGCGUCCAUCAGCUAGUUGGUAAGGUACGGCUUACCAAGGCGAUGACGGGUAGGGGACCUGAGAGGGUGACCCCCCACAAUGGAACUGAAACACGGGCCAGACACCUACGGGUGGCAG